CCCUUAGAUGUUCUGGGCCGCACGCGCGCUACACUGAUGCAUUCAACGAGCCUAUCCUUGACCGACAGGUCCGGGUAAUCUUUGAAUCUGCAUCGUGACGGGGAUAGAUUAUUGCAAUUAUUAAUCUUCGACGAGGAAUGCCUAGUAGGCGCAAGUCAUCAGCUUGCGUCGAUUACGUCCCUGCCCUUUGUACACACCGCCCGUCGCUCCUACCGAUUGGGUGUGCUGGUGAAAUGUUCGGAUCGGCCGUUUGUCGCGGUUUCCGCGUCAUGUGGCUGAGAAGUUCAUUAAACCCUCCCACCUAGAGGAAGGAGAAGUCGUAACA
rnacentral:rRNA from 1 species